rnacentral:rRNA from 1 species
GAGUUUGAUCGUGGCUCAGGAUGAACGCUGGCGGCGUGCCUAAUACAUGCAAGUAGAACGCUGAAGCUUGGUGCUUGCACCGAGCGGAUGAGUUGCGAACGGGUGAGUAACGCGUAGGUAACCUGCCUGGGUAGCGGGGGAUAACUAUUGGAAACGAUAGCUAAUACCGCAUAACAGUAGAUAUUGCAUGAUAUCUGCUUGAAAGGUGCAAUUGCAUCACUACCAGAUGGACCUGCGUUGUAUUAGCUAGUUGGUGAGGUAACGGCUCACCAAGGCGACGAUACAUAGCCGACCUGAGAGGGUGAUCGGCCACACUGGGACUGAGACACGGCCCAGACUCCUACGGGAGGCAGCAGUAGGGAAUCUUCGGCAAUGGGGGAACCCUGACCGAGCAACGCCGCGUGAGUGAAGAAGGUUUUCGGAUCGUAAAGCUCUGUUGUAAGAGAAGAACGAGUGUGAGAGUGGAAAGUUCACACUGUGACGGUAUCUUACCAG